UCUCCUUUCCUUGAUCAUCUCUCUCUCUCUCUCUCUCUCUCUCUCUCUCUCUCUCUCUCUCUCUCUCUCUCUCUCUCACGUAAACAGAUAGAUUAACAAAGCUCUAUCUUUCUUUCUCCCUGCUUUGAUUAUCUCUCUCUCUAACAGGAGUCACAACCAGUGAAGGUUUAUUUGGACAUUUCCUUUAAGUACGAUCUAAUGAGAGACAGGUGCUAUCGAAAUCGGUUAUAAAGAUAAUACGACUAUUGAUAAACGCAUUUAUGCAAGGUAUUAUUAUAGAUAAACAAUCAGCAGUUGGAUUUCUUAUCAACAUUGCAACAUGUUUACUGUGUGAACUUGGCCGCAUCGGGCCUGGUCAGUAGUCGGAUAGGUGAUCAUCUACGAAAGUCAGGGACCGUUGGAACUUGAGUCCUAUGAUCAUCACAGAGGUUACAAAAGCAUCGCAGUGAACCUUAGGAGUCGGGUGGAGCUCAUGAAUCUAUUACAAACUUCCAGCUGGCACGAGGAGGCCCUGGAGAGGUAACCGCGGCUUCUCUUAUCAUUAAAGGAUGUUUAAGAAGCUCAUAAUCCAGUUGCUUAUCGGAAGGAGAACUUGAGACUUAGGAGAUUUUGAAACAAAUCUGUCAUCUAUGGGUCCUUAUGCUCAUGUUAAUGUCACGCAGUUAAGCAGCGUUCAUCUCGGCAAAAGCAAAGAACAAGAGCUGAAUGAACGCGGCCUUGGGAAGUGCCAUUAAUUAGUGGCGGUUACAUCACACGAAUCACUGGCACCUGACGUGCUGAAUCAAGUGCCCUUUUUGACCUCCAUAGACGGAAGACUCUCCUCUCAUUGAUCUCACUGACACCUUCCAUUCAUGGGUACUUCCCAUAGCAUCCUGCAGCCAAGAAGGUCCUAGAUAUGCCUCCCAACGACUAUAUUUCACGAUAUCUCAGGACUGUACCGAGGGGUGGGUCGGGGAGGUCGAACGACCCCCCUUAAAAGACAUUUCUGGAAGUCCAUAAUUUUUGCGACUAUCCUUUUCAUUAAACUGUGCUUUAAAAGUAAUAAAUAACAAUCUUUUGUUUUUUU